UUGGGUGUGGCUCAGUGAUAGAGCAUUUGCCUAGCAGUGCAAGGCCUUGAGUUAGAUCCCCAGCACCCGUG
rnacentral:tRNA from 1 species